AUUGAACGCUGGCGGCAGGCCUAACACAUGCAAGUCGAACGAGUGGCGGACGGGUGAGUAAUGUCUGGGAAACUGCCUGAUGGAGGGGGAUAACUACUGGAAACGGUAGCUAAUACCGCAUACCAUCGGAUGUGCCCAGAUGGGAUUAGCUAGUAGGGGGGGUAACGGCUCACCUAGGCGACGAUCCCUAGCUGGUCUGAGAGGAUGACCGGCCACACUGGAACUGAGACACGGUCCGGACUCCUACGGGAGGCAGAGGGGGGGAAUAUUGCACAAUGGGCGCAAGCCUGAUGCAGCCAUGCCGCGGGUAGGAAGAAGGCCUUCGGGGUGUAAAGUACUUUCAGCGGGGAGGCGUUACCGGCAGAAGAAGCACCGGCUAACUCCGUGCCAGCCGCCGCGGUAAUAC
rnacentral:rRNA from 1 species